GACGAACGCUGGCGGCGUGCUUAACACAUGCAAGUCGAACGGAAAGGCCCUGCUUUUGUGGGGUGCUCGAGUGGCGAACGGGUGAGUAACACGUGAGUAAACUGCCCUUGACUUUGGGAUAACUUCAGGAAAAUGGGGCUAAUACCGGAUAGGAGCUCCUGCUGCAUGGUGGGGGUUGGAAAGUUUCGGCGGUUUGGGAUGGACUCGCGGCUUAUCAGCUGGUUGGUGGGGUAGUGGCUUACCAAGGCUUUGACGGGUAGGCGGCCUGAGAGGGUGACCGGCCACAUGGGGACUGAGAGACGGCCCAGACGGCUACGGGAGGCAGCAGUGGGGAAUAUUGCGCAAUGGGCGGAAGCCUGAUGCAGCAGUGCCGCGUGCGGGAUGACGGCUUUCUGGUGGUAAACAGCUUUCGCCGGUGACGAAGCGGGAGUGACGGUAAUGGGUAAAGAAGCACCGGCUAACUACGUG
rnacentral:rRNA from 1 species